rnacentral:rRNA from 1 species
CCCCUAGAUGUUCUGGGCCGCACGCGCGCUACACUGAACAGUUCAACAAGUCUUAACCUUGGCCGAUAGGUCUGGGUAAUCUUUGAACGCUGUUCGUGAUUGGGAUAGACCUUUGCAAUUAUGGGUCUUCAACGAGGAAUUCCUAGUAAACGCAAGUCAUCAGCUUGCAUUGAUUACGUCCCUGCCCUUUGUACACACCGCCCGUCGCUCCUACCGAUUGAGUGGUCCGGUGAGGCCUUGGGAGGGCUAAGUGGGCUGUGUUUCACAGACUACCUGGCCCGAACCUGGUCAAACCUUAUCACUUAGAGGAAGGAGAAGUCGUAACA